rnacentral:tRNA from 1 species
GCUACUAUGGCUCAGUUGGUAGAGCACAUCCUUGGUAAGGAUGAGGUCCCCAGUUCGAAUCUGGGUAGUAGCUCCA